GUUCUGCCUUAUUCUGGAAUGAUCCAGAAAAGGAGGUGGGGGGGGAGAGGUAGUGGCUUCCUACAUCAGUAAGUUGCCGAAGGAAGGUUCUGAAGGAGAGGGGAAAGGACCUAACGUGAGAAGGUUAACUUUGCACUAGACACACCACCAGUUACAACAGAGGUGGCAGGAUGCAGGGGGGCCGAGGGUCAGUAGGGAGGAAAACGGGAGCUCAGGGAAGCUCCCUGCCUGCUCUCGGGGGCUGAGGUCAGCAGUGAGUGAGGGCGCAGAGAAGGGACUGUGAAUGGGCAGGACCCAGAAGGGAGAUUACUGGGAGGGCCCCUCAUCUCCUCCUGCAGCAGCAGCCCCCCCCUCCCGGGGUAGGGAGCACUCACUAACACCAGUGAGGUGGAGCACAGCCGUGGCCACGGGGACGUCCUCGUCAGGCAGAUAGUACGAGACCAAAACCUGUGGAGAUAGCACCCAGCACCCAUGGCAGUGGGGGGGCGAGGGGGCAGGA